AGAAGAUUUUUCAGGAGGACGACGGGCUGCCGGUUCAUUUAAAAGGAGGCAUGAGUGACGCUCUGCUGUACAGAGCAACCAUGACACUCAGUGUGUUGGGAACUGGAUUUGUUCUGUAUGAACUGUGGAAGGCAGCGGUCCCUCAGAAGAAAUAGUGACUCCACUGUUCCAGCUGUUUGUUUCCGGCCUGCCGCUCUAUAUUAUAUUUAAAAAUGUAAAAACACAAAAA